UACGAAGGGGGCUAGCGUUGCUCGGAUUUACUGGGCGUAAAGGGCGCGUAGGCGGCGCAACAAGUCACUUGUGAAAUCUCCGGGCUUAACUCGGAAAGGUCAAGUGAUACUGUUGUGCUAGAGUGCGGAAGGGGCAACUGGAAUUCUCGGUGUAGCGGUGAAAUGCGUAGAUAUCGAGAGGAACACCUGCGGCGAAGGCGGGUUGCUGGGCCGACACUGACGCUGAUGCGCGAAAGCGUGGGGAGCGAACAGG
rnacentral:rRNA from 1 species